AAGUAAAAGUCGUAACAAGGUUUCCGUAGGUGAACCUGCGGAAGGAUCAUUAUUGAAUUUUGAAUGGGGUUGUAGCUGGCCUUUCAACGGGCAUGUGCACACCUCGCUUCAAUCCACUCACCACUGUGCACAAUUUGUAGGUCGGCUUUAGGAUCGGGUCUCUAGCGGGAUCUGUUUCGGGCCGUCCUAUGUAUCAUUACAAACAUUUAAAGUCUAAAGAAUGUACUCGCGUUAAACGCAUUUAUAUACAACUUUCAGCAACGGAUCUCUUGGCUCUCGCAUCGAUGAAGAACGCAGCGAAAUGCGAUAAGUAAUGUGAAUUGCAGAAUUCAGUGAAUCAUCGAAUCUUUGAACGCACCUUGCGCUCCUUGGUAUUCCGAGGAGCAUGCCUGUUUGAGUGUCAUGGAAUUCUCAACUCGCCAAUCUUUGCAUUGGCGCUGUUGGACUUGGAGGCUUUUUUUGCCGGAUUGUAAUGAUUCGGCUCCUCUUGAAUGUAUUAGCUCGGACCUUUGCGGAUCAGCUUUUGGUGUGAUAAUUGUCUACGCCGCUAACUGUGAUGCAUGAGUAGGAUCGGCUUACAAUUGUCUUUAAACGGACAAUAAAACUUAUGACCUCUGACCUCAAAUCAGGUAGGAUUACCCGCUGAACUUAAGCAUAUCAAUAAGCGGAGGAAAAGAAACUAACAAGGAUUCCCCUAGUAACUGCGAGUGAAGCGGGAAAAGCUCAAAUUUAAAAUCUGAUGGUCUUUGGCCGUCCGAGUUGUAGUCUGGAGAAGUGCUUUCCGCGCUGGACCGUGUACAAGUCUCUUGGAACAGAGCGUCAUAGAGGGUGAGAAUCCCGUCUUUGACACGGACUACCAGUGCUUUGUGAUGCGCUCUCAAAGAGUCGAGUUGUUUGGGAAUGCAGCUCAAAAUGGGUGGUAAAUUCCAUCUAAAGCUAAAUAUUGGCGAGAGACCGAUAGCGAACAAGUACCGUGAGGGAAAGAUGAAAAGCACUUUGGAAAGAGAGUUAAACAGUACGUGAAAUUGCUGAAAGGGAAACGAUUGAAGUCAGUCGCGUUAGCCAGGACUCAGCCUUGCUUUUGCUUGGUGCAUUUUCUGGUUGACGGGCCAGCAUCGAUUUUGGUUGUCGGAUAAAGGCAGGGGGAAUGUGGCAUCUUCGGAUGUGUUAUAGCCCUCGGUCACAUACGACGGCUAGGAUCGAGGACCGCAGCACGCCUUCAUGGCCGGGGUUCGCCCACGUACGUGCUUAGGAUGCUGGCAUAAUGGCUUUAAACGACCCGUCUUGAAACACGGACCAAGGAGUCUAACAUACCUGCGAGUGUUUGGGUGGAAAACCCGAGCGCGUAAUGAAAGUGAAAGUUGAGAUCUCUGUCAUGGAGAGCAUCGACGCCCGGACCUGACCUUCUGUGAGGGAUCUGCGGUAGAGCAUGUAUGUUGGGACCCGAAAGAUGGUGAACUAUGCCUGAAUAGGGUGAAGCCAGAGGAAACUCUGGUGGAGGCUCGUAGCGAUUCUGACGUGCAAAUCGAUCGUCAAAUUUGGGUAUAGGGGCGAAAGACUAAUCGAACCAUCUAGUAGCUGGUUCCUGCCGAAGUUUCCCUCAGGAUAGCAGAAACUCGUAUCAGAUUUAUGUGGUAAAGCGAAUGAUUAGAGGCCUUGGGGUUGAAACAACCUUAACCUAUUCUCAAACUUUAAAUAUGUAAGAACAACCCGUCGCUUGAUUGGACCGGUUGGUGAUUGAGAGUUUCUAGUGGGCCAUUUUUGGUAAGCAGAACUGGCGAUGCGGGAUGAACCGAACGCGAGGUUAAGGUGCCGGAAUACACGCUCAUCAGACACCACAAAAGGUGU
rnacentral:rRNA from 1 species